GCAUUGGUGGUUCAGUGAUAGGAUUCUCACCUUCCGUAUGGGAGACCUGGGUUCAAAUACCAGCCAACGCA
rnacentral:tRNA from 1 species